AACGGUGGGACUCUACCAUCACCAUGUCUACAGCCCAGGCCCGAAAGAUCCACUUGCAUCCCAGGCUGGCCUUGAAUUCACUAGGCAGUGAGGAUAACCGUGACCUUCUGGUCCUUCCAAGUGCGGGACCGCAGGCAUGCACCCUCACACUCACACUCGGUUGUAUAUGGUGCCUGCGAUGGAACGGUGGCAUCGUGUGUGCUCAGGAAGCUUUCUGCUAACCAGGCCACACCCCCAGCUCUGUAACUGUUUUUAGUGUAUGGCCCGAUCAUAUUCAGAACACCGUACAGCCACCAUUACUACCCAUCUCCAGAAACGUCGCAUUUUACCAAGCAGUAACUCUCAUCCAUUCAAUGGCGAUCUCCACCUCCCCAUCCCCACCCCUGGUGGCUUCCGUUCUGCUCUUUGUCUCCGUGAGUCAGAUACACAUCCUUCAUCACUACAGCACGGUGGGUUCCAGAAGAGGUGACAGUACUGAAUUUGAUUUAAGGGAUUUAUUUCCUCGAACUCAUGGUAUCUCUAAGUUAGCCACACCUUCCAUUCCCAAAGGGCUUAUUACCUUACUCCCAAGCAGGUUCCCUCUUGCUCCUGUGCCUCUGCACUUCCCAAACCUUCGGGGAGUUGUAACUUUCCCCCUGGACCCCCCUUCACUUAGCAAAC
rnacentral:lncRNA from 1 species